ensembl:lncRNA
UUGUAAAGAUUAGUCUUUGACUAACAAAUUAUAUUUAAAGAUAUACUUUUUUUAACAUAAGAUGAGAUGUAUUUUUGUUAAAUUUCAGUCAAAAUAUUUGAGAAUGGAGAAAUACUGAUCUGCUACAAAAACUACUGUUAUAACUCAUUCCAUAACAAUAUUCUUAAACAACAACUUAAGAAACAAUUGGACACAGUUAACAAUCUAUCAUCAGUAUAUUGUAAUGGUACUUAAUGUAGUUACAGUCAUUUUAAACUGUACCUUCUGGCCAAAACAUGAGUCCAAAAGCUUUUCACUUUAAAGGACAUUAGUUGAUGGACUGUAGUCAUGUGAAUUACUUGUGGAUUUUUUUGUUGUUUAUAUCAGCUGUUUGGACUCUCAUUCUGACGGCACCCAUUCACUGCAAAGGAUCCAUUGGUUAAGUGAUGUAAUGACAAAUUUCUCCAAAGAAGAAACAAAUUAAUCUACAUCUUGGAUGGUAUGAGGCUGUCAGCAGAUGCAGAGACCUAGUUUCCCAUCUCGUGAGAGAGAGACAGAGAGAAAGAGAGAGAGGGAGAAGAAUGUGGAUGGGGAUGACAAGACAGUGGAAAGUCUGGAACAUUACGCAGGUUCAAAAUCAUACCUAACAAAACAUGACGUCCUGACAACUUCACGCACUGUACCUAUCAGUCACAAGACUGUAAAAUGGGUCAUUCUCAGGAAACUGUGCCAUUUGUGCCUGAAGUUCAGUUUCAUUUGAAAAGGUUACUGCUGAAUUUGCAAAAAAUCUUAUUUUUUGCACCUCAAGCCUGAAGUACCAGCGUCAGAACUGAUACAUAGACACUGGAGGAAUCAGAAAGAACUUUAUUGCCAGGUAUGUUUACACAUACAAGGAAUUUGUUUUAGUGACAGAAGCUUCCACAGCACAAAAAGAAUGACAGUAACAAGACAAGACAGAUAAUAAAAAUAAUAAUAAUAAUAAAUAAUAAUAAUAAUAAUAAGUAGAUAGAAAAUAACAAUAUACACAAAAAUAUAUAUAUUUAAAAAAUACACAAUACACAAAGUAGAUAAUAGAUGGUAUGAGUUUGCACAGGUGUGUUAUGUACAAAUGCAAGGAAAUGUAAAAAGAGGUAUGUGUGUUAAAUAAAUAAAUAAAUAAAUAAAUAGUGUUGUAUAUACACGUUUAUUGCCAAGUUAACUGUUCAGGAGAUGGAUUGCUUGAGGAAAGAAACUGUUCCUGGCCGUUCUGAUGCUCAGUGCUCUGUGGCGCCGACCAGACGGCAACAGUUCAAAGAGGAAGUGGCCUGGGUGUGAGUGGUCCAGAAUGAUUUUGCCAGCUCUUUUACUCACUCUGGAUGAGUGUAGUUCUUGGAGAGGGGGAGGGUUGUACCAGUGAUUUACUCAGCAGUCCGGACUAUCUUCUAAUCUUCAAUCUUCUAAGGUCUGAUUUGGUAGCUGAGUUGAACCAGACAGUUAUAGAAGUGCAGAAGACAGAUUCAAUGACUGCAGAGUAGAGGGUGACACGGGAGUGGAUUUUCAAAUCUCUCCCGUCCCACUCCCAAAAAAAAUAAAAAUAAAAAAAAAUCCCGUCCCAUCCCAUUCCCACGAAAAAACUGGGGGGAAAUCCGGUCCAGUCCCAAUCCCAGAAGAAUGACUCCCAUUCCCUCCCACUCCUGUGUUGAGUUUUUUUUUUUUUUUUUUUGGCCGGAAUCUAUCAGUUACAGUAAAAAUACAGUACAGAUCACAGCAUUGCACACACAUUAAAUUUAAUGUAAAUCAUCCAUGCAAACACAUGCACGUGCACACAUUUUAAAAAUUCAUUGAAAACAUUUUUUGGUUACUUCAGACUGCCAGAAAUGUCGGUGAGCACAACUGAGUUAUCAUUUUCUGACAGUAGUCGUUGCAGACUCCAUUUUGAUUAUGAUUUUCGUGGUUACAAAGUGCAUGGGGAAGCCACCUUCUUCUCUUAUAUUAUUGGUGUUUGGCAUUGGCAUACCGACUUGGUGUAUUACCGCCACCAACUGUUACGGGUGUGGAGCACGUCAUUCACUUAACUGGCUGCAACGAAGCAAACAGGAGGAGAGCAUAAAGAAACAGGGCAACUAGAAUUGAGUUCAAAAUUAAAAUAUACAGUUUAUUUAUAUAAAAGGUAUAUUUGUGUAUAAAGUUGGGUAGUGUAAUUAUGAUUCCCGGUCCCGCCCACUCCCACUGACAUUCCUGUCCUGUCCCAAUCACGUGAUUAAUAGAUUUUGUUUCCUGAAAAAAUGUCAGCCUCUACUGCAGAGUAGAACUGUAUCAGCAGCUUGAACUUCCUCAGCUGAGGAAGGAAGUUCAGCCUCUGCUAGGCCUUCUUGAUAAUGGAGUCUAUGUGGAACUUCCACUUCAUGUCCUGAGAGAUGGUGGUGCCCAGGAACUUGAAUGACUCUAACAGUGCUGUCCAUGAUGGUGAGUGGGGGGAGUUUUGAGCGCGUUCAGCUCCAGGUUGUUAUAACUGCACCAGAUAGCCAGCUCUUCCUCCCGGAUGAGGCCAAUAAGUGUGGUGUCAUCUGCGAACUUCAGAGCCUUGACUGAGGGGUCUUAAGAGGUGCAGUUGUUAGUGUAGAGGGAGAAGAGGUCUGUAAUCUUUUAUUGCUGUAAUUUUGGGUUUCUAUGGGAUGGGGAUGAUGGUGGAGCAUUUGAAGCAGGAAGGGAUCUGUUAAAGAUCUGUGUGAAGACGGGGGCCGGCUGGUCAGCACAGGAUUUUAGACAGGCUGGUGUAACACCUUCUGGGCCUGGUGCUUUCUUGGCCUGUUUAUACAAGACUGUCCCCAUUCCUGUAGGCAUCUUCUUUGCCCUGAUGGAGCUGUCUGAGUUGUGCGAACCACGGUUUGUCGUUACAUUUGCAUUUAUGCAUUUAGCAGAUGCUUUUAUCCAAAGCGACUUACAGUGCAUUCAGGCUAUACAUUUUUAUAUCAGUAUGUGUGUUCCCUAGGCCACAGGAACACUUGUUUAAACUUGUUUUUUCGUUGUUGUAAGUUUAAAAUCGGUGCGCUUGUCCAGCUCAGUGGGGUCCAAUCUUUUUUAUACAUUAUAUAAAAGAUAUAUAUCUUCUUUUAUGUUCCACAGAAGAAAGAAAGAAAGUCAUAAAGGCUUAAAUAAAUGAUGACACAAUUUUCAUUUUCAGAUUAAUUAUGCCUUUAGCUCCAAUACUAAAUAAGUGAUUGCAGGAAAGUACCCAUUGUUAUUUAUUUUUACUGCAUUAUUUCAACUCUGUCACAUUUUUGUCAUGAAGUUUGUAAUUCUUAUCCCUGCUAUUUAAAUAGCUAUAUGACCAUUCCACACACACACACACACACACACACACACACACACACACAAUAUAUAUAUAUAUAUAUAUAUAUAUAUAUAUAUAUAUAUAUAUAUAUAUAUAUAUUGCAGACACUUUUUUAUUUUAUAUAUAUGUAUAUAGUAAAAAAAAACAGUAUAGUCUAAUAUGCUAUUUUGGUGCUCAAACAUUUCUUAUUAUCAUCUUAUUAUUAUUAACAUAAAUUUAAAUGUUUAUGUUACAUUUAUUUAAAUGUUUAUACAUUUAACGUUUCUUUCAAAAAAUAUUUCUUUCAAAAAAAAAAAAUCUUAAAGACUGGAUUAUAUUCCCAUGAAAACAGGCCAAAGUUGAACAUGCAUCCCUGCAAAAGCACUGAGGCAUCGGUGUGUAGGAAGCAGAAAAGUAUCUUUCUAACUCAAAUGUCACUGUAGAUUGGAAAUAUCCAGUCAAGUAAUUCACUUUUGAUCCAGAUUAUACCCCUCUUAAAUACCCACCCUGUGAUUUCUUCUUAAAAUACCCUAUAAGUCUCACUAAUUGCUCUCAAGGGGGGUGGAUAUCUAACCCUUGAAUAAUUUUUACUUUUAGUUCACUUACCUACUGCGAGUGGAUCCAUUUCUCAGGCACAGGAUAGAAUAAAGGUCUAUCAGUAAUUUGAAGAGUGUGAAGCAGUGGUCACAGUUAAUAACCUCUGUUGGUGUGUGUGUGUUAUAGCAGACUUUAAUUGGCUCGAGACGAGGUCAGCACUUAGAACUUCUCUACCAGGGAGUCUCCAUUAGACCUAAUUGUGAAGAGAACACAUUAUAAUAACAGAUGGACCAAAGUUUCCAGUUUGUCUGUAAUAUUAGCCCAUAAACACAUGCACAUACACACACACACUUAAGUAGGACAACCUGACGACAGACCCAAAAUGAGAACACACACACUAGCAACUCAAGCUGCCAACCUCUGGUAGUUUUGCAGCACAUUUUUAGUAUGUUUGGUAGGUGUUGACCUUACAGUGAGAGUGUGUGUUUGUGUGUAUUUGAACAGACACAGGUCUCUAAUUUCAAGAAUUUGCUUUCAAUAGCAAAUAAACAAACACAUGUGUAAUUAGUAACAAUAGAAUUGUGUAACUAGAAUCCUGAAAAUAAAUGUAUCAUGGUUUGCAUAUUUUAUUAAGCAGCACAACUGUUUUCAACACUGCAAAACAGUGAUACACUUAAAUCCACAAUAAGGGCACUUUCCUGUAAUAUCCAUAGACAAGCAAACCUCAGUAUGCCGAAAGAACACUGGUUAAGGUGUUUGCAUACUGGGCGAAAUCUGUGUAAUGUGCAAAAAUCGGGUUAUGCUUAAGCCGUUCAUGACGUUAGCCAGAUUUUUGCCCAUUACCUUGAUUUCACCCCGCAUAUAAACACCUUAGCUUACAUUCAUUCGGCACACUGAAGUACGCAUGCGUGAUAUGUAACAGAAAAAUGCCCUUAUUGCAUAUUUAAGCACAUCCAGCCAGAGUGAGUGUUUCGCUGUAGGAGAGGAGGAAAUCAUACAAACGUACGUUGACUCUUUCUUGACCCAAGAAAUUAUACAAAUGUGUUCUCAUAUUGUACAGUUUACAGAGCAGUGGUACAGCUGAAACUGCAAACAUGAGAGCAGAAUAUUUGUACAAGUUUCCUGUUGACAUUUUGGAAUAUUUGGACAUUUGGCUAAUUCUUAAUAUCAUUUCACAAUAUUACUGUUUUACUGUAUUUUUGAUCAAAUAAAAGCAGUUUUGGUGAGCAUAAGAGACUUCUUUCCUAAACAUGGUUGAUCUCACUUCAAAUCAUCAACAAGAAUUGCAAAAAUAAUGAUUGUUUUCCACAAGGUUUCCUGAACACUGUCUCUGUCUGCUAUUGGUCAGAAAACAGAUGGC